CAGUAGCCGCGGGAAUACGUAGGGUGCGAGCGUUAAUCGGAAUUACUGGGCGUAAAGCGUGCGCAGGCGGUUGUGUAAGACAGGUGUGAAAUCCCCGGGCUUAACCUGGGAACUGCGCUUGUGACUGCACAGCUAGAGUAUGGCAGAGGGGGGUGGAAUUCCACGUGUAGCAGUGAAAUGCGUAGAGACGUGGAGGAACACCGAUGGCGAAGGCAGCCCCCUGGGCCAAUACUGACGCUCAUGCACGAAAGCGUGGGGAGCAAACAGGAUUAGAUACCCCCGUAGUCCCUGUCUCUUAUAA
rnacentral:rRNA from 1 species